GGUGUGCAGGAUAUGCACCUCUGGAUGCUUUUAUUGAAGCCAAAUAAUUGCCUCCAGGGUUCUUCAGCCCAGGAGGCCGAACUCAUUGCUUUAACUUGGGCCCUAGAGCUAAGUGAGACUGUGAACAUUUACACUGACUCUCGAUAUGCCUUUUUAACCCUCCAAGUGCAUAAAGCAUUAUAUAAAGAAACAGGCCUGUUAAACUCUGGGGGAAAAGAUAUAAAGUAUCAGCAAGAAAUCUUGCAAUUAUUAGAGGCAGUGUGGAAGCCCCAGAAGAUGGCAGUCACGCACUGCAGAGGACACCAGUGAACUCCUACUACAGUUGCUUUAGGGAACUCCUGAGUGGACUCGGAGGCUCAAAAGGCAGCAUCCACCCCUUACCGGGCAUCAAUCACAGCCCCCUUUCUCCCUCAAGAACCUGAACUUUUACCUACCUAUUCUAAGGGAGAAAAAAACUUUUUCCAAGUGGAAGGGGGACAGGUAAUAAAGGAAGGAUGGAUCCAGGUAUCGGAUGGGAGAAUAGCUGUGCCACAGCUACUUGGAGCAGAGGUUGUACUGGCUGUGCAUUUAACUACCCAUCUAGGUCAGGAAUCACUUGAAAAGUUGUUAGGCCGGUAUUUUUACAUCUCCCAUUUAUCAGCUCUUGCCAAAACAGUAGCGCAGCGAUGUGUUAUCUGCCGACAGCACAAUGCAAGACAGGGUCCAGCCGUUCUGCCAGGUAUACAGACAUAUGGAGCAGCCCCCUUUGAAGAUCUCCAAGUGAACUUCACAGAAAUGCCAAAGCGUGGAGGUGAUUGAGUGUGGAUCAAAGAUUGGAACACAUCCCCCUUGCGACCACGGUGGAAAGGAGCCCAGACCAUCAUCUUGACCACCCCCCCACAGCUGUAAAGGUAGAAGGAAUCCCAGCCUGGAUCCACCAUAGCUGAAUAAAACCUGCAGCCUCUGAAACCUGGGAGAUAUUUUCUUAGUAGUGUCUUGGGGAUUACACAAAACCUCUAAAAGAUCCAACAAUAUGUUUAAAUGAGGUAAAAAAUUAACUUCAGUUGAAUGCAAAAAUUCUUCAUGAUUACAUCUGCCUUCAACUUUGUUAUUGAUUUUGCUAAUUAUAUUAUUUAUUUAUUUAUUUAUUUAU
rnacentral:lncRNA from 1 species